rnacentral:sRNA from 1 species
UUCCUUCCUGUGUAUCACCCCAGCCCUGAGGAGAGCAGGGACCCCACCCUCUAUGCCAACAAUGUUCAGAGGGUCAUGGCACAGGCUCUGGGCAUUCCAGCCACCGAAUGUGAGUUUGUAGGGAGCUUACCUGUGAUUGUGGUGGGCCGGCUGAAGGUGGCGUUGGAGCCACAGCUCUGGGAACUGGGAAAAGUGCUUCGGAAGGCUGGGCUGUCCCCUGGCUAUGUGGACGCUGGGGCAGAGCCAGGCCGGAGUCGAAUGAUCAGCCAGGAAGAGUUUGCCAGGCAGCUACAGCUCUCUGAUCCUCAGACGGUGGCUGGUGCCUUUGGCUACUUCCAGCAGGAUACCAAGGGUUUGGUGGACUUCCGAGAUGUGGCCCUUGCACUAGCAGCUCUGGAUGGGGGCAGGAGCCUGGAAGAGCUGACUCGUUUGGCCUUUGAGGUAAUGGGGGGUGGCGGUGGGGGGGGGUGCUUAGUGGCUAUGCUCACCCCACUCCAGGAGGCCUAUUUUGGUAUGCUGUUUCCAGUAGCUUCUAGAUAUUAGGCAUUUGGUAUCCAACCUAGUGCCACAGUGCCUAAAACUGCAGACCCCCGGCGUCUAUGUUGAGACCUAGCUGGGCACAAGAAGAAGGAAGAAGAAGGAAAAAGCUAUAAAGUCUACAGUUCUGCAGAAAGGGCACUGGAGGGUCAGGGAAGGCUUGUGCACCACCAUUUUGGAAGAGGAGGAGCCUGUCAGGCCAGUCUGUGGGGCAGGGUGAGGCCAUGGCACGAGGAGAGAACUUGACUCUUAUCCCUUUCUCUCCCAAGCUCUUUGCUGAAGAGCAAGCAGAGGGGCCCAACCGCCUGCUGUACAAAGACGGCUUCAGCACCAUCCUGCACCUGCUGCUGGGUUCACCCCGCCCUGCUGCCACAGCUUUGCAUGCUGAGCUGUGCCAGGCAGGAUCCAGCCAAGGCCUCUCCCUCUGUCAGUUCCAGAACUUCUCCCUCCAUGACCCACUCUAUGGGAAACUCUUCAGCACCUACCUGCGCCCCCCACACACCUCUCGAGGCACCUCCCAGACACCAAAUGCCUCAUCCCCAGGCAACCCCACUGCUCUGGCCAAUGGGACUGUGCAAGCACCCAAGCAGAAGGGAGACUGAGUGCCUCAGCCUCUCACCCCCUCCUCCUCAGGGCGGCGCUAGGGGCCUCCCCUAUGCCUCAGCCCCAUCUCUGCUCCUGUUUGAAUUUUGUUAUUGUUGUUUGGUUGUUUUUUUUUUAAGUUGAUUUUAAUUUUUUGUUUGGUUGAUUUUUUUGUAAAAAACUAUUUUAUAUAUAAAUAUAAAUCUAUAUCUAUAUCUAUUAAAAAAAAUGAAGUCCA